rnacentral:rRNA from 1 species
UACGUAGGGAGCGAGCGUUGUCCGGAUUCAUUGGGCGUAAAGAGCUCGUAGGCGGUUCAGUAAGUCGGGUGUGAAAUCUCCGUGCUCAACACGGAGCGGCCACCUGAUACUGCUGUGACUCGAGUCCGGUAGGGGAGUGUGGAAUUCCCGGUGUAGCGGUGAAAUUCGUAGAUAUUGGGAAGAACACCGGUGGCGAAGGCGGCGACCUGGUCCUUGACUGGACGCUGAGGCGCGAAAGCGUGGGGAGCAAACAGG